CCCCUAGAUGUUCUGGGCCGCACGCGCGCUACACUGAUGCAUUCAACGAGUCUAAAACCUGCUCUGAUAGGGGUGGGUAAUCUUUUGAAUGUGCAUCGUGAUUGGGAUAGAUGAUUGCAAUUUUUCAUCUUCAACGAGGAAUGCCUAGUAAACGCAAGUCAUCAGCUUGCAUUGAUUACGUCCCUGCCCUUUGUACACACCGCCCGUCGCUCCUACCGAUUGAAUGAUCCGAUGAAUAUCAUGGAUUGAGGAUGCAAGCAGGUUCGCCUGUCUUCAUCUUCGAGAAGUGAAGUAAAUCUUAUCAUUUAGAGGAAGGAGAAGUCGUAACA
rnacentral:rRNA from 1 species